GGAUGCUUAGCUCAGUUGGUUAGAGCACCUCGUUUACACCGAGGGGGUCGAGGGUUCGAAUCCCCCAGCAUCCA
rnacentral:tRNA from 1 species